UACGGAGGUGGCAAGCGUUGCUCGGAAUCACUGGGCUUAAAGGGUGCGUAGGCGGCGCGGCAAGUUGGGUGUGAAACCCCUCGGCUCAACCGAGGAACUGCGCCCAAAACUGCCGUGCUCGAGGGAGAUAGAGGUGAGCGGAACUUAGGGUGGAGCGGUGAAAUGCGUUGAUAUCCUAAGGAACACCGGUGGCGAAAGCGGCUCACUGGAUCUCUUCUGACGCUGAGGCACGAAAGCUAGGGUAGCGAACGGG
rnacentral:rRNA from 1 species